rnacentral:rRNA from 1 species
CCUACGGGUGGCAGCAGUGAGGAAUAUUGGUCAAUGGGCGAGAGCCUGAACCAGCCAAGUCGCGUGAGGGAAGACGGUCCUAUGGAUUGUAAACCUCUUUUGCCGGGGAGCAAAAAGCGGUACGUGUACCGCAUCGAGAGUACCCGGAGAAAAAGCAUCGGCUAACUCCGUGCCAGCAGCCGCGGUAAUACGUAGGUGGCGAGCGUUGUCCGGAAUUACUGGGUGUAAAGGGAGUGUAGGCGGGAAAGCAAGUCAGAAGUGAAAACUAUGGGCUUAACCCAUAGCCUGCUUUUGAAACUGUUUUUCUUGAGUGAAGUAGAGGCAAGCGGAAUUCCUAGUGUAGCGGUGAAAUGCGUAGAUAUUAGGAGGAACACCAGUGGCGAAGGCGGCUUGCUGGGCUUUUACUGACGCUGAGGCUCGAAAGCGUGGGGAGCAAACAGGAUUAGAUACCCUUGUAGUC